UACCCUUCCCAGUCCUUUCCUUUAUUCCUAUCGCCAAUCCUUUCUUAAUCCCUUCCCAAAAAGUCGGCAAUCCAAUUGUAGAGGCGGAAGGUCUGCAAUAGACCUUAUGCCUCUCCAAAUGUUCAUGGCGGCGGCGGCGGUGGUAGCGCUUACCAUCAGGCGUCCCACCAGCUCCAUUGCUGACUGUAACAUAAAAAAAAAUGUAUCCAGCUCAUCAUACCAAGGUCUUCUUUGUAAAUUCUCUUGAAUAUUUCCAUACCAUUUUCCUUUAAAUUUCUGAUCUUUCCAGAAUUCUAACCGCAUACUAUUUACGGAGACAUUUACAUCGUGAUAAUAAUCGGUCAUAGGGACAUGCACCACAUUUCUGACAUCAUAAGCAUUGAUCCCUUCAUAUGCAGUUUUAUUUCCAGAAAUACCUUUGUGUGAGGGAACCCACACAAAGGCAAUUUUAGUUCCUUUAUUAUCUAAACGCAAUAUGAAAUCUUUUAAAAAGUAGAUAAUAUAAUUAGUUUUAAAAUUUAGAUUUACAAGUUUCAGACUAUUUAUAAGACUUAAAGAAUCUGUUAAGAUUAGAAAAUAUUUACAAUUAUUUACACAACUAAUCCAUUUUAAAGCUUCAAAAACUGCAUAUGCCUCUGCUGUAAAAAUAGAACACUGUUGGUGUAGAAAAAAGCUUUGAGCAAUACUCCUUUGGGGAUCAUAGACUGCACUUCUAACAUAAUCAGUACUUUUACUACUAUCAGUAUAGACCGUAUAAUAGUCUUUGUUCUCUUCUAAGAAUGCUAGAAAGUCAGAAUUGUUAUCAAUUGGUUUAGAUAAAAUUACAGUAGGAUGUAUAAUACUUUUAUAUGAAUGAGUGUAACAAGGCCAGUGAGAUUGUUUUUUGAUAUUUGAAUAAUGAGAUUGUAUUUCUAAGAAAAUCUUGCACAGAGUUGGAGAUAUAACUUUCAGAAGAUCAUUAGGUGAAGUUAGUGUACCAUCUGCUGUAAUGGGGUGAGAUCACAUAAAAGUGAAUGAAGCUGUCAGCACAACUUCUUCCUCUACGGAAUCCAUAUUGAACAUGAGGGAUGAUACUAUUAGAUUCUGCAUACCAGUCCAGGCGACAUUUAACCAUGUUUACAGAUAUCUUUCCAAGACAUGAUGAUAGUGAAAUUGGGCGAUAGCAACUUAUUAAGGAUAAGUAUAGGGAUGCCAAGUGACCGCAGAGGAGGGAAGUCAGUACUUUCUUUUGUCAUAGUAACACUAGCAUAUGUUAUUUUAUUCUUCUUUUCUAAAAUUUUACUCAUUUUAAUGGGACAUACUUUGGAAAUAGCUAAAUGGG